UCAGGCCUAACACAUGCAAGUCGAACGGUAACGCGGGGCAACCUGGCGACGAGUGGCGAACGGGUGAGUAAAGCAUCGGAACGUGCCCAGUAGUGGGGGAUAGCCCGGCGAAAGCCGGAUUAAUACCGCAUACGACCUAUGGGUGAAAGCGGGGGACCGAAAGGCCUCGCGCUAUUGGAGCGGCCGAUGUCAGAUUAGGUAGUUGGUGGGGUAAAGGCUCACCAAGCCGACGAUCUGUAGCUGGUCUGAGAGGAUGACCAGCCACACUGGGACUGAGACACGGCCCAGACUCCUACGGGAGGCAGCAGUGGGGAAUUUUGGACAAUGGGGGCAACCCUGAUCCAGCCAUGCCGCGUGCGGGAAGAAGGCCUUCGGGAUGUAAACCGCAUUGUCAGGGAAGAAAUCCUUUGGGUUAAUACCUCGGGGGG
rnacentral:rRNA from 1 species